rnacentral:lncRNA from 1 species
GUUUGAGCUGACCCAAGGUUUGAGUCGAUCCAAGAAAAGUUUGAGCUGACCCAAGGUUUGAGUCGACCCAAGAAAAGUUUGAGCUGACCCAAGGUUUGAGUCGACCCAAAGAAAGGUUGGGUCGACCCAAGGGAAGGAAGGCUGAAUUUCAAGUUUCUGUAUUUUCUGAGAGAGUCGACCCAAGGAAUGUUUGAGUCGACCCAAGUGAAAGUUGGGUCGACCCAAGGACAGGUUGAGCCGACCCAAACACGGGCUGAACAUAACGGCUAGUUGUGCAGAAAUGCUUUUUGGACUCCCAACGGCUAUAAACGGCUAGUUUCUUCAAUCCAACGGUCAGGAAGGACUAUUUGGAGGUU